rnacentral:rRNA from 1 species
UGCNAGUCGAGCGGNACGAUGGGAGCUUGCUCCCAGGCGUCGAGCGGCGGACGGGUGAGUAACACUUAGGAAUCUACCUAGUAGUGGGGGAUAGCUCGGGGAAACUCGAAUUAAUACCGCAUACGUCCUACGGGAGAAAGGGGGCAACUUGUUGCUCUCGCUAUUAGAUGAGCCUAAGUCGGAUUAGCUAGUUGGUGGGGUAAAGGCCUACCAAGGCGACGAUCUGUAGCUGGUCUGAGAGGAUGAUCAGCCACACCGGGACUGAGACACGGCCCGGACUCCUACGGGAGGCAGCAGUGGGGAAUAUUGGACAAUGGGGGCAACCCUGAUCCAGCCAUGCCGCGUGUGUGAAGAAGGCCUUUUGGUUGUAAAGCACUUUAAGCAGUGAAGAAGACCUAACGGUUAAUACCCGUUAGCGAUGACAUUAGCUGCAGAAUAAGCACCGGCUAACUCUGUGCCAGCAGCCGCGGUAAUACAGAGGGUGCAAGCGUUAAUCGGAAUUACUGGGCGUAAAGCGAGCGUAGGUGGCUUGAUAAGUCAGAUGUGAAAUCCCCGGGCUUAACCUGGGAACUGCAUCUGAUACUGUCAGGCUAGAAUAGGUGAGAGGAAGGUAGAAUUCCAGGUGUAGCGGUGAAAUGCGUAGAGAUCUGGAGGAAUACCGAUGGCGAAGGCAGCCUUCUGGCAUCAUAUUGACACUGAGGUUCGAAAGCGUGGGUAGCAAACAGGAUUAGAUACCCUGGUAGUCCACGCCGUAAACGAUGUCUACUAGUCGUUGGGUCCCUUGAGGACUUAGUGACGCAGCUAACGCAAUAAGUAGACCGCCUGGGGAGUACGGCCGCAAGGUUAAAACUCAAAUGAAUUGACGGGGGCCCGCACAAGCGGUGGAGCAUGNGGUUUAAUUCGAUGCAACGCGAGAACCUUACCUGGUCUUGACAUAUCUA